UACAAUGAAGGCAAUAUAAAGGAAUGACAUGUGAACCAACAAAGCCUUUCUCCAUGCUUCUGAUUUAUCAAUUGACUUCGGCAGCUCAGCUGGGCUUGCUUUUGAGCAUACUCCCAUUUUGUCAGAAUCCGACAGAAUCUGUAGAGUCAUUCAGGCUUGAUUUUCGUUCAAAGUUUUUAUCCUAAAUGCUAAAUGCUAAAUCCUGUUUUAAACAAAAAAUCCACGUACAAUGUCA
rnacentral:lncRNA from 1 species